GACGAACGCUGGCGGCGUGCCUAAUACAUGCAAGUCGAGCGAAUCAAUAGGAGCUUGCUCCUGUUGAUUAGCGGCGGACGGGUGAGUAACACGUGGGCAACCUGCCUGUAAGACUGGGAUAACACCGGGAAACCGGUGCUAAUACCGGAUAAUCCUUUUCCUCUCAUGAGGGAAAGCUGAAAGUCGGUUUCGGCUGACACUUACAGAUGGGCCCGCGGCGCAUUAGCUAGUUGGUGAGGUAACGGCUCACCAAGGCGACGAUGCGUAGCCGACCUGAGAGGGUGAUCGGCCACACUGGGACUGAGACACGGCCCAGACUCCUACGGGAGGCAGCAGUAGGGAAUCUUCCACAAUGGACGAAAGUCUGAUGGAGCAACGCCGCGUGAGCGAUGAAGGCCUUCGGGUCGUAAAGCUCUGUUGUUAGGGAAGAACAAGUACCGGAGUAACUGCCGGUACCUUGACGGUACCUAACCAGAAAGCCACGGCUAACUACGUGCCAGCCGCCGCCGUAA
rnacentral:rRNA from 1 species